CAGGGACAGGAGCACACACCAUGAUUUCACACAUCCAGCUGAUCUGGCCCCUGGCAUUCUGUAUCGCAGGUAUCAGUGGGGACAUCAUCAUGAGCCAGUCUCCCCCGGUGCUGUCAGUGGGACUGGACCAGACCGCAACACUCACCUGUACGGCCAGUCAAUCUGUUAGCAAGUGGGUUGACUGGUUCCAGCAGCGAGAAGGUCAGAAACCCUCUCUCCUGAUCUAUGAUGCAACAACUCGAUUCACAGGAGUCUCCGAGCGAUUCACCGGCAGUCGAUCAGGGACCAGUUACACCCUGACAAUCAGCAACGUUCAGAAUGAAGAUGUCGCUGACUAUUACUGUAUGCAGCGUAACAGCUGGCCUUUCACGUUCGGUAAAGGAACCAAGCUCAGACUGAGUAAGUAA